rnacentral:rRNA from 1 species
CCUACGGGAGGCAGCAGUGAGGAAUAUUGGUCAAUGGACGAGAGUCUGAACCAGCCAAGUAGCGUGAAGGAUGACUGCCCUAUGGUUUGUAAACUUCUUUUAUAUGGGAAUAAAACGUUCCACGUGUGGGAUUUUGUAUGUACCAUAUGAAUAAGGAUCGGCUAACUCCGUGCCAGCAGCCGCGGUAAUACGGAGGAUCCGAGCGUUAUCCGGAUUUAAUGGGUUUAAAGGGAACGUAGGUGGAUUGUUAAGUCAGAUGUGAAAGUUCGGGGCUCAACCGUAGAAUUGCAGUUGAAACUGGCAGUCUUGAGUACAGUAGAGGUGGGCGGAAUUCGUGGUGUAGCGGUGAAAUGCUUAGAUAUCACGAAGAACUCCGAUUGCGAAGGCAGUUCACUGGACUGCAACUGACGCUGAGGCUCGAAAGUGUGGGUAUCAAACAGGAUUAGAUACCCGUGUAGUC